rnacentral:rRNA from 1 species
AUGGAGAAGAUGCAGAAGGCCGUCGCCGUCGUCAACGACCUCUGGUGGAACCGGCACGGGUUCCCGCAGGGCUACCACUUCGUCCCGAGUGACCUGGAGCUCAUCCGCCUCCUCGAGGACAUCAUCGCCGGCCGCCCUCUCCCCCACCCUCUCCCCACCAUCUUCCGCAACGUCAGGAUCCGCGAGUACCACCCCGCCGAGCUCUACGAGAGGUACAAGGCGCACAAGGAGGCCGGGAGCAUCUACUUCUUCAGCGAGAGGGAGUUCCCAGGGGGCGCCAGGGUGCGCCCCCGGCGCUUCACCAAGGACGGCUGGUGGAAGGCCUCGGGGGGCGGCGAGGCCCUGAAGCGCGGCGGCCUGACCGUCGGCUCUAAGCUCACCUUGGUCUUCUACGACAAGAAGCCCGGCCAGAAGGUUGGCGUCAAGACCGACUGGGCCAUCAAAGAGUACACCAAGAUCGUUGACAAGAAGAAGGCGGAGGAGAUGGCCUUGUACCGCCUAUAUAAGAUGAACAAACCCGCCAACGCGAAGCAAGCAACUCAAGAAGAUGAAAACACCCCCGAUUCCACUUGGGCGAACGAGGAGGAGGAGGCGCCGCCGCCGUCACCACCACAUCCGCCAGCCGGAGGGACUUUCUUGCAGGCACAGGCCGGGCAGCCACAUGACUACCACUACUACUACGCCUGUGAUGCCGAGCCAGGGCCAAGCACAAGCCGCUCGGUGACGCCGAACGCCGGCCACAUGGGGCUAACAGGUUCUUCGCCGGCCGCCCCAACAUACCUGCCGCAGCACAACGGCGUCCAGUACACCGACGGGCUUGGGUUCUGGGAUGCGCUGCCGGCGAUGCACCCGUCUCUGGUGUCGUCGGGACCAACAGCCGUUGCGCAUGGCCUGCCGACAUCUGCUGCGCAUUUCAGCUACCAAGAAACUGCAGUAGACGCCGAGCACUUUGGCUACCAAGAAACCACAGAACCGCUGAAGACGCAGCUCUUGCCAGCGUCGGCCGAGCACUUUGUCUACCAGGAAACCACAGACCCGCUGAAGACGCAGCUCCUGCCGGCGUCUGCCGAGCACUUUGCCUACCAGGAAACCACAGACCCGCCGAAGAUGCAGGCCCCACCGCCACUGCCAGCGCCGGCUGCUCAGGGCGGCUACCUGGCUGAUGAGUUCGACGUUUGGUGCGAGAUGCAGCAAGGUUCGCAGCAGGUGGCUGUGAGUCCCUCUUCCCCCAUGCCCGACGACAUAGAUUCGCAGCAGGUGGCUGCAAGUUUCUCUUCCCACAUGCCCGACGACAUAGAUUCGCAGCAGGUGGCUGCGAGUUCCUCUUCCCACAUGCCCAACGACAUAGAUCCGCAGCAGGUGGCUGCGAGUUCCUCUUCCCCCAUGCCCGACGACAUAGAUUCCCAGCAGGCGGCUGCGAGUCCCUUCCCCAAGCUCGAAGAUAUUGAUUUGCCCAUGCUUGAAGAUGUCGAUUUCGCCAUGCUCGAAGAUAUUGAUUUCGUUGACUUGCUCGAGGAUAUACCAACGCUGCCUACGGACGAAAACGGCGAGCGCUUUUCAUGCACAUUACAAGAGCUCCUCUACCCCAAGAUAGAGGACGACGCACCACCACCGCUCGCCGACGUUGAUGGCCAAGGAUCAGGUUCAGAGUAA